ACCACAGCGGCGGGGGGGUAAGGUGGCGGGCCGCCGCUCUGAGCCCCCGCCGCGCUGAGCCGCCCUGGCAGCGCGGCGCCCCGGUUACCGGGCACGGGGUUGGGGAUACUGGGUCCCCACCACCGAAGCCCAUCCCGCUGCCGGUUGGGUUCCGGUUCCUGGCUCCGUGCCCGCUCUCCCCCCCUCGCCGCCGCGAUGGUACGUCCCGCGCCGCCGCGAUUGGCCGAGCGCUUAAAGGGGCAGGCAGCGCGCGCUUUUCCGCCCUCGCCGGCGCGGCGCAUCCCGGUGCGCGGGGCGGGGGGGGCGGCUGCGGCGGGCGCGGGGCCCCCCCGCGGCGGCGCCAUGGAGGCGGCGGAUGGCGGCCGCCGCGGGACACAAAGGGCGGCGCGGCGGCGGCGGCGGGCGACUCAGCGGGGCCCUAUGGCGGCGGCGGCAGCGCCGGGGCCCGGCCCGGUUGGCGGUGGCGGCGGAGCUCCGCGGUACAGCCUGUUGGCCGAGAUCGGCCGCGGGGCCUACGGCGUGGUGUACGAGGCGGUGUCGGGCCGCAGCGGCGCCCGGUUGGCGGUGAAACGGAUCCGUUGUGACGCGCCCGAGAACGUGGAGCUGGCGCUGGCCGAGUUCUGGGCCCUGACGAGCCUCCGGCGGCAGCACCCCAACGUGGUGCGCUUCGAGGAGUGCGUCCUGCAGCGGCACGGCCUGGGGCAGCGCAUGAGCCACGGCAACAAGCGCAGCCAGCUCUACCUGCGCCUCGUCGAGACCUCCCUCAAAGGUGAGAGGAUCCUGGGCUAUGCAGAGGAACCUUGCUACCUGUGGUUCGUCAUGGAGUUCUGCGAAGGAGGAGACCUCAACCAGUACGUGCUCUCACGAAGACCUGACCCAGCGACAAACAAGAGCUUCAUGCUGCAGCUGACCAGUGCCAUUGCCUUCCUGCACAAGAACCACAUUGUCCACCGGGACCUGAAGCCAGACAACAUCCUGAUAACCGAGAAGUCUGGCACCCCUGUCCUCAAGGUGGCUGACUUCGGGCUGAGCAAGGUCUGCGCUGGCCUGACUGCUCGGGGCAAGGAGGGUGGGCAUGAGAACAGAAAUGUGAAUGUGAACAAGUACUGGCUGUCCUCGGCUUGUGGCUCGGAUUUCUACAUGGCCCCCGAGGUCUGGGAGGGACACUACACUGCCAAGGCUGACAUCUUCGCCCUGGGCAUCAUCAUCUGGGCCAUGAUUGAGAGGAUCACCUUCAUUGAUGCGGAGACCAAGAAGGAGCUGCUGGGAACCUACAUCAAGCAGGGGACUGAGAUUGUGCCCGUUGGGGAAGCGCUGCUAGAAAACCCAAAGAUGGAGCUGCACAUCCCUCAGAAACGCAGGACUUCCAUGUCUGAGGGGAUCAAGCAGCUCUUGAAAGACAUGUUGGCUGCUAACCCACAGGAUCGACCUGAUGCCUUUGAGCUUGAAACCAGAAUGGACCAGGUUACAUGUGCUGCUUAAAUUCAGGGCAGGGCACCGCUGUGCUUUGCAGCUGGGUUUAUUUACCAGGGACCCAUAAUCUCCAUUAUUUACGUGCAAGGAGGGAAGUUGAAGAUAAGGGAAGAUGAUGAUGAUGAUACAGAAGGUCCCUGGUGUGCAGGAUCUCUGGCAAUGUGAAAUCUUUGGGUGUUACUUUUUGUUGGGAUGGGGUGUUCUGGGGGUGCGGGAGCGGGCUGCAGGGGCCUGUGGAAGAGCAGCAGUCGUGCUCAUGAGACUUAAACCCAAUCCAGAGAGCAGAGCUGCCCUUGCCCAGCCCUCCCCUGUCUCCUGUGCUGCCAUUUGACUCAGUAGAUGUUUCUAGACAGGAUUUGGUUCCAUAAGGAGGUGGGAAUCAGCUGCCAGGCACCAGCUCUGGGUCUGGCCGGGCACAACGUUGGGUUUGAAGCUAUUGCUUUUGCGGAGGGGAAAUAGGAGCAAAGUGAUUGCCAGGUUUGUACCAGCAGUGCAGUGCUUUAGAAACAGACUCUCUCAGAUUAUGUGUUACAAAUAGCUAAAUAAUUUCGUAGCCAGGCAGCUUCUAACCAGGGGGAUGCUGCCCUGGCAGGGAGCAGUUGAUCGAUGCUAGGAUAGAGCAGCAUAACCAAGCUGGGAAGGCAUUCAGCAGGGCAGGUCUGCUGCUGUGACAGGCAGACCUUUGUUCUCCCCAAGCUGGAUUUCACUGGUGAUGUUCUGUACCCCACAGAUGGUGAUGGGGAGCCCAUAAGCGUGCUUUCACUGGACAGAAGAAACAAAGCAGUCCACUGCUCUGAUCCAUUGAAUGCCAAACUUCAGCUGUUAGGACCUUGGGAGAGGAGGAGGUUUGGCCUAAAUGGCUCUGGGGCUGGGUUCUAGCCUCCCAUAAAACACUCUUCCCCACUAGCUAACCAUCUCCAGGAAGCAAAUGCUGCUGUUUAGGUUUGGUUACGUACAGUACAGCUCAGGUAAGGAGAUUGCAAUCUCAGGCUGAGCACUUAAUACUCGAUUUCCUUGCCUAUAUUUAGAGCAACACUAAUAUUCCAGGACUGACCCCGUGUUGAUGGUCUUUAGACUUUGCUCCCUGUAAAUGCCGUGUAAAGCAGCACCUCUUCACCACCCCGUGGGUUCUGAACCAACUAAAGCCAUUCCUCAUCAGGCUAAAUCACCAGGUUGGUCUGACCUGGGUGCUCAGCCAGGGCCAUGGGCAGAAGAGGGUCCCUGUGACCCCUCAUUCCUGGCUGUGGGAACUGCUCCUUGCCCGUGUGCAGGCUGCAGCUUUCCUGUGCCAUCACUGGAUCACCGAACUGGCAGCACCUCCUUGUAUCUACUCAGUGUUACCUUGCUGACCUCAUGGGAAUGAAUGGGAAUGGAGGAAAUUCAGGUGGCCUAAGGCAGAGCUAAAGCAGGGAAAGGAGGGAAGGGUUUCUGUUUCUGUCUUCCAUCUAUUCCAGGACACAGAGCUAAGGCUGUCACUGCAGGAAGGCCAGGUCCCUCUUAGGAGGAUGAUGCCGGGAGGCCCCAGACCAUCUGUCUGUGACUUGUAAAGGUUUGGACAGCACAAACUCAGCACCAAGCCCCUGUUCCCACGCUGCUCUUCUGUUGUUCCUCGGGAUGUUCCUGUGGGCUGUGGCCAGCCCAUGGCUGUACCCAUGACCAGGCUGGUCUCUGGGGUGUGAGCAGUGUGGGGCUGGGCAGCAGGCGCUGAGGAGCACUCGCUCCUCAUUUCCUCUCUAAUGAGCAGCAGAUCCCUGCAGUGGCCAUGCCAAGCUCCAGAGCCCUGCAUCCCACACGAGGGCUGGACCCACAAGCACAGUGUUAGUGCCCUGAUCACUGGAGCAUCCCUCCUCCACCUGACAGAGCCUUUGCUCCUGACUGUUACAACUGUUAGAACUUAACCUUGGCUUGAAACGGGUGCAGCAAAAGGGCUUCUUUACCCUCCCAGCCCUGCUCAUGUGGCUGUCCCCGCUGGACAUGUAAUGGCAUUACAUCCCAGUAGAAGGGAGCUUCCUAGCAGGAGGUUUCCAUGUGUGGAAACCAAGCCUGAAAUGCAGGAUAUGGAAACUGGUGAAUGUGUUGCUCACUACCCUGUACCCGGCACCCUGCAGGCAGCUCCUAUUUGGAAGCAGGCAGGAAGCAUCCAGGCAGACCCUGGGAGGGUCAACCCUCUUGGUCCACCCCUUUUUUUCAGGCCAUCUUCAAACCACACGUCUCCACCUCAGCUUUUGCAUUGCAGAUGUGUUUUUAAAGCAGCUUGAUGUUAGUGAGCUAGACCGUAGUGCCUUACUUAGGAUUUAGCAAACACUUCCAAGGAUGAUUCCUAGGGCUGCUAGCCUCUCCAACGUGGAUGUUCCCCUCAUUAGUUUGUCCUUCGAAGAGCAUUUCUUCCUGAUUAUUUUGCUGCUGUUUGUGCUCGACUCCACAGACCGUACAGGAACCUGCCUUGUGUUUACAGCUCCCAGCAUCUCUCCUCCCAGUUACAUUGACCCAGGCCAGCACUCCCUCUAGAACAAGGUGGGAACAGCUCAAAUCUGCAUGUGCUGUGGGAUGGAGGAUGUUUAGGCUUCUCUUUCCAGGUGGGUCUAUCGGGCAUCUCCUGCCCAGCUCCUCCAGGCUGAACUUCUCCCUCUGCUGUGGAUGUUUGACAUUAGGAUGCGCCGCUGGGAAAACUCAAGGCAGCAGCACUGAGCCUGAAGCUCAUUGCUCAGCCCAGGGCCAGGCUGUCUCCAUCUCUUCCUGGCCGCUGAAGCUGAGCAUCCAGGACCCAGCUCCUUCACAUAUCAGAGGCUCCCAGAGCCUUUCUGGAGCAAUAAGACUGAAAUCAAGCAUUACCAUCGUUGUGGAAAUCCUCCGUUGUGUGCAUUGUCUGUCUCCUCCGUAUGCAGUACUGAGUCUGGGUUUAAGCCUGCCAAGAGCCAUGGGGCAGCUGCUUCAGGGCACAAACUGGGAUAUGUUUCCCUGUACUUUGUGCAGGUCAUGAGAGCAGGGAAACAUGUUGCUGCUUCCCUUUAUCACCCCAGGCCUGUGCUGCCCAAGCAUCACGCUGCAGCUGCCUGGGGCGAGGGGGUUCCUGGUCCCCUUUUGGUGAUGCUGCUGGAGGAUGGGUGUGCUGAUGGGAUGGGAUGGGAGCGUGUUACCUGUUAUCCUUGCAGCCUCCCAUCCCAUUGGCCAGGCUCUGCAGAGGGGCAGCAUCUGGGCAGUGGAGCCCCUGCUCCUGUGCUGCUGGUUCCAUCACCAAGGGAGCUCUUGCUGGUGGUGGGAGAGCAGCACCCGCAGCUCCUGCUACUCAGCUGGUCACCAGGCACAUCCCACCGUGUGGCCCUUCAUGUCCCAAAGCAUUCCACACCUCGGAGCAGGGCACUGGGCACUGCUGGAAGGGAAGCACAGGAGCUGCUCUGUUCCAGCUGCGACAUGACAAGUCCUGUUUCCCUGCAGUCUGCCCAAGUGCUUUUAGCUCCGAGGGUGAUGCCCAGGCUGCUGGAAGAGCGCACGGGAGCGCUUGAUGUCCCCAUUCUGCUUGUCCCCUCCAGCAGCUGCCUUCAGCUUGUUCAUCCGGAAAACAGCAGCUUUGCAGUUGAGCUGCUUCCCUAUGGAGAGAGGUGCUGGAAUCCCAGAGUGAGCCCUGGGAUGGGGAUGCCCUGACCCUGCUCCGGGCUCUCCCCAUUCCAGCAGCCUCUGGGCCAAGCUAGUGGGAGCAGAAGGCUUAAACCCAGACUCCAACCUAAAGAUAAUGAUCUUAGUAAAUGGAUCUGUAUUUUUCUUUCUUUUUGUUUUGCACAGAAGCUGGUGAUUUAGGACCUAUGUGUGAACAACUUUAUAUAAAUAUUUUUUGUACUUGGUUUACUUGGAUUGGUAUGAGACGUUCUAUUUAAGUUCUUUGAACACUGUGGAUACCCUGAUGUGUAUGAGUGGCAGAGGCUUUGUAAAUUAAAGAGACGUUUGUGUGAAUAAAAGCUAUUUGAUGGGGUUGAAAAGCCACACACAACUUGAA